rnacentral:rRNA from 1 species
GUCUAAGGCCAUAUCACCCUGAAUUCACCCAAUCUCAUCUGGUCUCAAAAGCCAAGCAGUGUCAGGUCUACUUAGUACUUGAACAGAUCUUCAGAGGAGACUUUUCAGAGACA